AACUGAGACACGGUCCAGACACCUACGGGUGGCAGCAGUCGAGAAUUUUUCUCAAUGGGCGAAAGCCUGAAGGAGCGACGCCGCGUGGGGGAUGAAGGGCUUCGGCUCGUAAACCCCUGUCAUUUGCGACCAAACCCCGCGUUUGAACAGAACGCGGGCUGAUCGUAGCGAAAGAGGAAGGGACGGCUAACUCUGUGCCAGCAGCCGCGGUAAUACAGAGGUCCCAAGCGUUGUUCGGAUUCACUGGGCGUAAAGGGUGCGUAGGUGGCCGGGUAAGUUUGACGUGAAAUCUCCGGGCUCAACCCGGAAACUGCGUUGAAUACUAUCCGGCUGGAGGGUUG
rnacentral:rRNA from 1 species